UGGGGAAUUGUUCGCAAUGGGCGCAAGCCUGACGACGCAACGCCGCGUGGGGGAUGAAGGUCUUCGGUUUGUAAACCCCUGUUGGGUGGGACGAACCCUUUCGUGGUGAAUAGCCAUGGAGGCUGACGGUACCAUAUGUAAGCCCCGGCUAACCCCGUGCCAGCAGCCGCGGUAAUACGGGGGGGGCAAGCGUUGUUCGGAAUUACUGGGCGUAAAGCGUGCGCAGGCGGUUUUGUAAGUCUGUCGUGAAAGCCCCGGGCUCAACCUGGGAAUUGCGAUGGAGACUGCAAGGCUUGAAUCUGGCAGAGGGGGGUAGAAUUCCACGUGUAGCAGUGAAAUGCGUAGAGAUGCGGAGGAACACCGAUGGCGAAGGCAGCCCCCUGGGUCAAGAUUGACGCUCAUGCACGAAAGCGUGGGGAGCAAA
rnacentral:rRNA from 1 species